rnacentral:rRNA from 1 species
UACGGAGGGGGCUAGCGUUGUUCGGAAUUACUGGGCGUAAAGCGCGCGUAGGCGGCUUGACAAGUUGGAGGUGAAAGCCCGGAGCUCAACUUCGGAAUUGCCUUCAAGACUGUCUCGCUCGAGGCAGGGAGAGGAGAGCGGAAUACCCAGUGUAGAGGUGAAAUUCGUAGAUAUUCGGAAGAACACCAGUGGCGAAGGCGACUUACUGGACACAUAUUGACGCUGAGGUGCGAAAGCGUGGGGAGCAAACAGG